rnacentral:rRNA from 1 species
GAAAGGACGGGUUUGAUCCUGGCCCAGAUGGAACGCUGGCGGUGCGUCUAACACAUGCAAGUCGACUGGGCAUUGCCCAGGGCGUCCGGGUGAGUAAUAGACAGGAAUACUACCCAGAGGAAUGGACCAAGGGAGGGAAACCCCCGAAUGUCCAGUCAAAAAGGAAGUUCCGCCUCUGGAGGGUCCUGUUUCGGAUUAGGUCGUAGGUGGUUUAUGCCCAUCCUAGCCGAUGAUCCGUCGCUGAUAUGAGAGUAUGAUCAGCCACACUGGAACUGAAAAGGGUUCAGACCUGAGAUCAGGGCAGCAGUGAAGAAUCUUGCACACUGGGGGAAACCCUGAUGCAGCGACACCGCGUGAAGGAGGUUGACAGCGCACUGUUGUAAACUUCAGAAUUUGGCUCUAUGAUGAAGGGUCAAACUAUCAGCCCCGGCAAACUUCGUGCCAGCAGCCGCGGUAAUACGAAGGGGGCGAGUGUUCAUCGGAAUGACUGGGCGUGAAGGGUGUCUAGGCGGAGGCGCACUCAUCGGGUUAAAGCCCUGGAAGAAUCGAGGAGAAGCUCGGUGAAAGGCGCCCUCAUGGGUCUGGGAGAGGAGGACGGAAGGCUCGAGGAAGCGGUGUAAUGCAGUGAUCUCGAGUCGAAGGCCAAUGAGCGAAGGCUGUCCUCUGGCCCAGCACCGACGCUGACGCACGAAAGCGUGGGGAGCGAAGAGGAUUAGAGACCCUCGUAGUCCACAGCUGACAACGUUGUGCUCCAUCUAAGGGUUGAAAAAUUCUUAGGGAUCAAGGUGUACGCCGGAGAGCACCGCCUGGGGAGUACGGCGGCAGCGCUGAAACUCAAAGGAAUUGACGGGGGUCCACACAAGCAGUGGAGCAUGGGGCUUAAUGCGAUGAUACGCGCAAAACCUUACCAACCCUUCCAUCCCAUUUUUAGAAUGAUGAGGCGUACUGCAUGGCUGUCGUCAGUUCGUGAUUUGUGUCCUAUGAUUCAUUUCAGAAACGAGCAAAACCCGCAUUCAUAGAAAAAGUCUAUGAAGACUGCCCUCGAGAAGGGGGAGGAAGGCGCGGAUGACGUCAAGUCCUUAUGGUCGUUAUGGGUUGGGCUGCACCUGUGCUACAAUGGAGGCUUCAAUAAGUGAUCGAGAGGGAAACCUGGAGACAAUCCUUAAAGGCCUUCCUAGUUCGGAUCGGGGGCUGCAACUCGCCCUCGUGAAGGAGGAAUUGCGAGUAAUCGCGGAUCAGAAUGCCGCGGUGAACACGUACCUGGACCUUGUACACACCGCCCGUCACACUUUGGAAAUUUUUCUCAGGUGAAGUACAGGGGUACUCUAAGAGCUUUUUCAAGAGACCUUAGAGAAGCUUGUCCCACCCUGUCAAAAGUAACUGAAGUGAAGUCGUAACAAGGUAAGGGUAGGGGAACCUGCCCUUGGAAGAUGACCACC